GGUGGUUCAGCGGUAGAACGCUUGCCUUGCAUGCAUAAGGCCCUGGGUUCGAUUCCUCAGCACCA
rnacentral:tRNA from 1 species